rnacentral:lncRNA from 1 species
AGUCAGCCCGCGGCUUUUCUGUCUUCCUUUCUGGCCCAGCGAGAGCGCCCAGGGGGUGGGCGUCUUGCCCCGGGCGUCGAGAGUUUGGGGCCGUCCCGUACGCGGCGCGCCGCAACCCAGUCCCCGCGACCACAGCAGCCUGCUCCCCACCGCGCUUGCAGAGCCCGGACGCGCGUGAGUCGGGGGCCCGCAGAGGCCUCACCCUUGGAGGUCGCCGCUUGUCAGGCCUGACUGCUGUUGGCGCCCACCCCGCCGCCCCCGAGGGGCCGCUCGAGGCCGGACUGCUGCUUUGCCGUGGCAGGCCCCACCCGGGACGUGGCGCUGCGGGCCGGGGCGGUCCAGCUGUGAGUCAGGGGUUAAUGUGGCGGGAUAACUCUCUGCAGAGGGAAGGAGCUCGCAAAGAAGGGUGGAGGAGGGGAAACCGCAAUGGGGAACUGUCACCGAGGCUAGUGGACUCUCCCUGCGCUUUUUUUUUUUUUUUUUUUUUUGGCAUGUACCCCAAAAGCCAGAGGUCGAGGCCCAGAAAAAUCUGGAAAGGAAUUCCACCGUGUUUGCUCCUUACAGACCAGACAAACCGUAGAUCUUUCAGAGGUACAGCGACUCUCCUGGUUCCCUAAGAUAGUCUCGACUUUUCCUUUCCCUUUGCGGCCCUCUCACUUGACUACUGCAGCCAACCAUACCCCUGAUUAGGGGGUGCAGCACAUCAGCCUCUGCCCCCAAAAACUACCCUGCGAAAGAUCCUUUUUCUCAGGUUCGUUCUCCACAACCGAACAGAUUGGAACUCCACUGAAUAAGAGAGAACAAAAAAGCAAUUAGUUAAAUGAAGCGUAAAGAAGCCUUAUAAAGCCCCAUUGCUGCCUCAGGCACCCAAUCUAGUCAUAACCUAAGAGGUCCAGUUCAGAAAUCUCCCCUCCCCUUUUAAUUCUCAGGCAAUCCCUACUCCCUGCCAAAGGAGAACCCAGUUACUGAACAUCGGAUGAGACCAUGGAUAGUAAAUUGGGAGUGAAGGUCCAUACCUGGGUCUCAGAAGCACAGUACAGGUAAAGCUAAGAGUUAUUUCCUCCUUCUCUUUCCCCAUCCAACAACAGGAUGCCUUACUGAAGGUAGGCACUUCAGGUAGUAAUUACUUAGUGAAAUGCCGCCAAUGUAGUCAGAAAUACCGUAUUAUGUACCGUGUCAACACAAUUCAUUAUUCACGGAGUUGAUUCUCCAACCACUGCACCUCCCAACAAUUCUACCUGAACUCUUUGGGUAAGCAGUGGCCUCCUAAAUCCAACUGAUACUUUUGUUGCCCUCAUUUUUCCUGGGAGUCUCUUUGGCGAUUGACAAAGUCGACCAUUGUUUCCCAACACUCUGUUUCCUUGAUGUUGACAACCCCACUUUGCCUUUAUGCUCAUCCUGCUUGUUAAAAUUCUUUCAGGCCUGUUGGGAGGCCGAGGCGGGUGAAUCACGAGGUCAG